CGCAUGGGCGAAAGCCUGACGGAGCGACGCCGCGUGAUUGAUGAAGUCCCUCUGGGACGUAAAAAUCUUUUAUGAGCUACUAAGUUAUUGAAAAGCUCAUGAAUAAGGGGUUGCUAAACUCGUGCCAGCAGCAGCGGUAAUACGAGUGCCCCAAGCGUUAUCCGGAAUCAUUGGGCGUAAAGGGUGUGUAGGUGGUUGUGUUAGUCUUUCGUUAAAGCCCGGGGCUUAACCUCGGACAAGCGAAGGAAACGGCACAACUGGAGGGUGCGAGGGGUCUGUGGAACUCAUGGAGUAGGGGUGAAAUCCGUUGAUAUCAUGGGGAACACCAAAAGCGAAGGCAGCAAACUGGCGCAUUCCUGACACUGAAACACGAAAGCGU
rnacentral:rRNA from 1 species